UACAGAGGUCCCAAGCGUUGUUCGGAUUCAUUGGGCGUAAAGGGUGCGUAGGUGGCGGGGUAAGUCGGAUGUGAAAUCUCGGGGCUCAACCUCGAAACUGCAUUCGAUACUGCCUUGCUAGAGUACUGGAGAGGAGAUCGGAAUUUACGGUGUAGCAGUGAAAUGCGUAGAUAUCGUAAGGAAGACCAGUGGCGAAGGCGGAUCUCUGGACAGUUACUGACACUGAUGGACGAAAGCUAGGGGAGCGAAAGGG
rnacentral:rRNA from 1 species